rnacentral:rRNA from 1 species
UACGGAGGGUGCAAGCGUUUAUCCGGAUUCACUGGGUUUAAAGGGUGCGUAGGAGGGCAGGUAAGUCAGUGGUGAAAUCCCCGAGCUUAACUUGGGAACUGCCGUUGAUACUAUCUGUCUUGAAUAUCGUGGAGGUGAGCGGAAUAUGUCAUGUAGCGGUGAAAUGCUUAGAUAUGACAUAGAACACCAAUUGCGAAGGCAGCUCGCUACACGAAUAUUGACUCUGAGGCACGAAAGCGUGGGGAUCAAACAGG